UCCACUCCACCGGAUGAACUUCAAACACGAUAUGGGUCGACACUAUUAGUACUACUAGUAUUAUUAGUAUUCUCAGACACACGAAGACGUUCAAACUCGUAAGUCACAGAACGGUUAUUAUCACCACCAUUAUUCUCAGAAAUUUUAAGUCGUUCAGACUCAUAACUCACCGAACGGCUGUACUUUCCGGUAACAUUGUUGUCCUUAG